GCUAAACAUUUAGCCUAAACCACCAUAAGACCCCCUGACCCAAUUAAUAACAAAUAAAACAUUUUCUUAUUAUAGUAGAGGUGAUCAAAAAAAUCCUAAGAGCUUUAGAUUAAGUACCGCAAGGGAAACAUGAAAUAGUAAUGAAAUAACCUCAAGCACUAAAUAGUAGAGAUUAAUACUCGUACCUUUUGCAUCAUGGUCUAGCAAGUCCUUGUCAAGCCAAGAGAAACUUUAGUUUGACCCCCCGAAACUAGACGAGCUACUUCAAAACAGCCUUUAGGGCCAACCCGUCUCUGUUGCAAAAGAGUGGGAUGAUUUUCAAGUAGAGGUGACAAGCCAAUCGAGCCUAGAGAUAGCUGGUUAUUCAAGAAAAGAAUUUUAGUUCUGCCUUAAGCCUUUUACUGGAUAUGAACAGACCCUUAGGCUUAAGAGUUAUUCAAAUAAGGCACAGCUUAUUUGAAAAAGGCAACAACCUAAACUCUAGGGUAAGUUUUUGUAACUAAAUAAAGUAGGCCCAAAAGCAGCCACCUUUUAGAAAGCGUUAAAGCUCAGUUUAUUAAAUUAAAAAAUUCUAACUUCCUUCACAAACCCAUUAUCAGUAUUGAAUGACUUCAUAAAUUAUGAAAACCACCAUGCUAGAACUAGUAACAAGAAAAUGAAUUUCUCCAAAUUGUGAGCAAAAACCAGAAUGGACCACCCACUGGCAUUUAACGACCCUGAGCUCAUUAUAAUAACACUACCAAGAAAACCUUAUAAAUUACAUCGUUAACCUUACACAAGCACACUUCCGGAAAGAUUAAAAGGAAAAGAAGGAACUCGGCAAAUUUUAGCCCCGCCUGUUUACCAAAAACAUCGCCUCUUGCGAAACAUAAGAGGUCCAGCCUGCCCAGUGACCCCGUUCAACGGCCGCGUGACCCUAAGCGCGCGAAGGUAGCAUAAUAAUUUGUUCUUUAAAUAGGGACUAGUAUCAAUGGCACCACGAGGGCUAUACUGUCUCCUUUUCCCAAUCAGUGAAACUAAUCUCCUUGUGAAAAAGCAAGGAUAAAACCAUAAGACGAGAAGACCCCAUGGAGCUUUAAACACAGCAACAACCUUGCAAAGAAUAACCAAGAAGCUUCAAAGUAUGUUCGCUAGUUUUAGGUUGGGGUGACCACGGAGUAAAAUAAAGCCUCCGCAACAAAGGAAACUAGAUCCUUAUCCAAGAGGGACACCUCUAAGAAUUAAUAACCUAAUGUCUAAUGACCCGAUUAUCGAUCAAUGAACCAAGUUACCCUGGGGAUAACAGCGCAAUCCAUUUCAAGAGCUCAUAUCGACAAAUGGGCUUACGACCUCGAUGUUGGAUCAGGAUAUCCUGGUGGUGCAGCCGCUACCAAAGGUUUGUUUGUUCAACAAUUAAAAUC
rnacentral:rRNA from 1 species